AGAAGCGUAGAAAUGUACGAAGUAUGAAAUCAAAAUGCCUUCUCAGCAGAGAAAUACAAUAUUUCUAUUAAACAGAAUUAUUUAUAUGCUUUUAAACACUCCUCACAAAUAAGGAGAAAGAUUUAUUGUACCUUUAAUUCUAAAUGUUGGAUAAAUCUGUUUGGUUUUCAUACGUGUUAAGUACAAUAAAAGCAAAAAACAACAUAAUGGUUUCAUGAAAUCUCUCUAGGAAAAUCAAUCUCUUUAGGAAAUGCUACGAUGAGAUCGAAUUGUAAAUAAGGCCACUAACGUAAUUUUGCCUGUAAUUAACAAGAGCAUUUCGAAAGGGAAAUUCAAAACCAAUUUAGCAUAAUGGUUUUCUGUUUGUGAAGGAAACUUUGCAGUCAAGCAGUGUUGUCUGAAGUUAAGAAAACAACAAGCUCAAAAACUCAAUCAUUGUAGAUAUAUACUUUAGAUUGCAAAACGGCGCAAUGGUGCCCUUUUGUGAUGGGUUUGUAAUGGUUUUUGUAAUGGGUUUGUUGUAACUGCUUUUGAAAUGGCACAGUUCUGUAAAGAUUCUGUGAAUAAGAUUUAUAUCUAGAAAAUAACGUAUCUUGAUUAAUGUCUUUCUGUGGAGCAAUUCAUAACGACAGCGAUGAGGCUGUACAACUCCCCCCUCACCCCCGUUAACUGUGAUUGGACUUGAUCCAAAAAACAAGGAGAAACAUUCUCUCCUUGUAUGACUCACUUCUCGCGUUAUGCAAUGGACAGUAAACAACGCUUGUAAUCAUCGCUAUAUUUUUUUCUUCAUAUACCUAAAAUAUGUUAUUUUGUGUUUGCUAAUACAAUUAUCGUGUUCCUUACCUCCGCAGCUUGGAUUACACUUUAUUAAGCUGUAAAGAUCAGAAAGCUAUGGAGCUGGUGACGGUAAGCUGAAAAGCAAGUGGUUAAGUACAAGCAAGUGCAAAGUACUCUAAGUGCCCUUGCUCAGAGUAACAACACAGAGAGGAUGCUGGUAUAAAGUGAUGAAACGGAAUGUCAUCAUGGGUUACCUUGAUUUCCCUCCUAUGGAAUUAAUGGGAAUAUGAGCCAAUUUGUUUCACAAAGUCUUCCACGAAGGAGUCCUUCUCUUAAAUUGUUUUCAUAGUUAAAUAAUCGGAACGCUACCAAGCAGUAGAGCUGUAUCAAGACAGUGUCAAGCAACAACAUGUCCAAAUCCACAGUUAACUUCUA